AUUGAACGCUGGCGGCAGGCCUAACACAUGCAAGUCGAACGAGUGGCGGACGGGUGAGUAAUGUAUGGGAAACUGCCUGAUGGAGGGGGAUAACUACUGGAAACGGUAGCUAAUACCGCAUACCAUCAGAUGUGCCCAGAUGGGAUUAGUUUGUUGGGGGGGUAACGGCUCACCAAGGCGACGAUCCCUAGCUGGUCUGAGAGGAUGACCAUCCACACUGGAACUGAGACACGGUCCAGACUCCUACGGUAGGCAGCAGUUAGUAAUAUUGCACAAUGGGCGCAAGCCUGAUGCAGCCAUGCCUCGUGUAUGAAGAAGGCCUUCGGGUUGUAAAGUACUUUCAGCGUGGAGGCGUUACCCGCAUAAGAAGCCCCGGCUAACUCCGUGCCAGCAGCCGCGGUAAUUC
rnacentral:rRNA from 1 species